rnacentral:rRNA from 1 species
GAUGAACGCUGGCGGCGUGCCUAAUACAUGCAAGUCGAGCGAACAGACGAGGAGCUUGCUCCUCUGACGUUAGCGGCGGACGGGUGAGUAACACGUGGAUAACCUACCUAUAAGACUGGGAUAACUUCGGGAAACCGGAGCUAAUACCGGAUAAUAUAUUGAACCGCAUGGUUCAAUAGUGAAAGACGGUUUUGCUGUCCCUUAUAGAUGGAUCCGCGCCGCAUUAGCUAGUUGGUAAGGUAACGGCUUACCAAGGCAACGAUGGGUAGCCGACCUGAGAGGGUGAUCGGCCAAACUGGAGAUGAGAAACGGUCCAGACUCCUACGGGAGGCAGCAGUAGGGAAUCUUCCGCAAUGGGCGAAAGCUUGACGGAGCAACGCCGCGUGAGUGAUGAAGGUCUUCGGAUCGUAAAACGCUGUUAUUAGGGAAGAACAAAUGUGUAAGUAACUAUGCACGUCUUGACGGUACCUAAUCAGAAAGCCACGGCUAACUACGU